rnacentral:rRNA from 1 species
AUACGGAGGGUGCAAGCGUUACUCGGAAUCACUGGGCGUAAAGCGCGCGCAGGCGGCUAUUUAAGUUGGAUGUGAAAGCCUAUGGCUCAACCAUAGAACUGCAUCCAAAACUAUUUAGCUAGAGUGUGGGAGAGGAAGAUGGAAUUAGUUGUGUAGGGGUAAAAUCCGUAGAGAUAACUAGGAAUACCAAAAGCGAAGGCAAUCUUCUGGAACACUACUGACACUGAGGCGCGAAAGCGUGGGGAGCAAACAGGAUUAGAUACCCUAGUAGUCC